AGUGAACGCUGGCGGUAGGCCUAACACAUGCAGGUCGAACGGCAGCACAGUAAGAGCUUGCUCUUACGGGUGGCGAGUGGCGGACGGGUGAGGAAUACAUCGGAAUCUACUUUUUCGUGGGGGAUAACGUAGGGAAACUUACGCUAAUACCGCAUACGACCUACGGGUGAAAGCAGGGGAUCUUCGGACCUUGCUCGAUUGAAUGAGCCGAUGUCGGAUUAGCUAGUUGGCGGGGUAAAGGCCCACCAAGGCGACGAUCCGUAGCUGGUCUGAGAGGAUGAUCAGCCACACUGGAACUGAGACACGGUCCAGACUCCUACGGGAGGCAGCAGUGGGGAAUAUUGGACAAUGGGCGCAAGCCUGAUCCAGCCAUACCGCGUGGGUGAAGAAGGCCUUCGGGUUGUAAAGCCCUUUUGUUGGGAAAGAAAAGCAGCAGGUUAAUACCCCGCUGUUCUGACGGUACCCAAAGAAUAAGCACCGGCUAACUUCGUG
rnacentral:rRNA from 1 species